UGUGGAAACCCACUUCUGACUUAUCACUUUUCAUGAAUUCUAUGCUUCACGGUGUUACACUGUUUAUUAUUUCUGAUGAGUGACAGUAAUUAUUUUCUUUCUUGCUGGUACAUAAUAAAGUGGUGCGCAUCAGAGUUGCUGCUAUCUUAGACUUAAUUAAUCAGUAUCAGGUGAUCCUGAGGCUCAGUGAUGUCACUGUGGGAACUGCUCUGUGGGGACAGGGACGUACCUCCUUCUCUGCUCCUGCUCACAGUGACCCUGAUCUGGUAAAGCUCGCAUCCUGCCCUGACCCUGUCAUGGGCACCAGGCUCCUCUGCUGGGUGGCCCUGUGUGUCCUGUGGGCAGAUCACGCAGAUGCUGGAGUCUCCCAAGACCCCAGACACAAGAUCACAAAGACGGGACAGAAUGUAUCUUUCAAGUGUGUUCCAAUUUCCGAACACAACCGCCUUUACUGGUACCGACAGACCUUGGGGCAGGGCCCAGAGUUUCUGACUUACUUCCAGAAUGAAGCUCAACAAGACAGAUCAGGGCUGUUCAGUGAUCGGUUCUCUGCAGAGAGGCCUGAGGGAUCUAUCUCCACCCUGAUGAUCCAGCACACAGAGCAAGGGGACUCGGCUGUGUAUCUCUGUGCCAGCAGCUUAGCCACAGCAUGGCACAGUCGCCUCCUUCCUGUUCACAAACACUCAGGCACUUACUUCUCCUUCCAGCUCUCAGAAGCCCUGAACAAAGGAGCUGCCCUGCUCUUUCCUCAGCAAGGAGAAUGAAUGCAUUUGGAACUUCAGGUGUUCUUCUGAUACUAGGAGGUCAGAAAAUAACCUCUGAAAUACAGGAACAGGGAACACUAGGUAGUAAUAAUUGUGGCUUAUGGAUU